UACGGAGGGGGCAAGCGUUAUUCGGAAUUAUUGGGCGUAAAGGGCAGGUAGGCGGCUUCGUGUGUCCCUUGUGAAAGCCCUCGGCUCAACUGAGGAAUUGCAAAGGAAACUACGGAGCUUGAGUCCGGGAGAGGAGAGUGGAAUUCCCAGUGUAGCGGUGAAAUGCGUAGAUAUUGGGAGGAACACCGGUGGCGAAAGCGGCUCUCUGGGACGGUACUGACGCUGAGACGCGAAAGCGUGGGGAGCAAACAGG
rnacentral:rRNA from 1 species